rnacentral:tRNA from 1 species
GGCCGCGGCCGGGCUGGUCGGCUGGCUCGCCGCCCAGGGCGGCGAGGGCCCGCUGGUGAUCGGGUACGACGCCCGGCGCGGCUC